rnacentral:ncRNA from 1 species
AACAAAUCGUUGAUAAGGAAAAGUAGAAUAAAGUCCCUCAGGAUAAGGGAGAAAAGCCGAGACUGAAAGCUUUUUACUGAUACCUAUUUGAAAGACACCUUUGAGUGAUUGAGCGAAAGCUUUGUUAGUAGCUUAAUCCGGCUGGUCAUCGUUAUAAGACCAUUGAGUGGAGAGCAAUCUCUAUUAGGGUGGUACCGCGGGUUAAUAACUCGUCCCUGAC